rnacentral:misc_RNA from 1 species
AAAGUCGUAACAAGGUUUCCGUAGGUGAACCUGCGGAAGGAUCAUUAAAAAAAUACGCCUGGUAAAUAAUUUUAAACACUAUAAACCAGUGCUGUAUACAACCACCUGUUUACCUUUACCUGUUGCUUCCGUGGAGUUACGGGUGCUCUCCCUGUUCGCAGGCGUGAGUUACCUUCCACGGGUGUACUUCAAAAACUUGUUUUGUAUUAUUGUCUGAUUCAAAAAUUUUAAUAAAAGUUAAAACUUUCAACAACGGAUCUCUAGGUUCUC